ACCUUCUUCUCCCUCUUGGCAGGGCCCGUCUCUUUCAUGCCCUCCGCUCCUCUGGGCCAGCCCCGCCGAAGCAGCGUCCUCUCUCUCUCCAGGAGGAGAGUCCAGGCGGGUGGAAGGCCGAGCACAAUGGAACCUGAGAAUUUCUGUCACUCUCCGCAUAUGGCCCGAAGUGCUUUAAUCCCAAUUAGGGGCGGCUGACACACGGUCCUAUUCAUCCCCCUCAGCUCUUGAAUACAUUUGCCUAGAAAUGAACUUCGCCCAUAGAGGCGCCGCUAAAUGUGCCCAACAGCAAGGAAAAUCGAAUUGAGGCCUGCGCUCAAUUGGAAGGCGAGGGCGGGAGAAAAGGUAUGAAUUUAUAAGGUACACCGAAACAUUGCGAUUCAGCCACAAGUCGGGUGACUUUUCUUUGCACCCUGUCAACCGAAAGAGCCGGGAGAUAAGUGGGCUGAGGGGGGCGGGGGCGAAGGGAGGAGGAGGGCGGACGAGAAAAAAAGCAACUUUUUCCACAGACUUUGAAUAAGCCAGGAUAGGCCUUUCCCCCCUUUUGAAAGUGGUUGAUUGUGCGCGCCUUGAAAUACGCUCGCCUCCCUCCAGGCAUUCCAGCGGGGCGACCCAGCCUUGAGCGCGUCCAUUUCACAGAGGAGGGGGGGCGAGGCGGGCUGGAACUAAAGGAAGAUAUUUUAUUUUAAAAAAUAAUCAUGGCGUUUUCCACAGGCCCCCAAGGCGCAUUGAGACUCUGACUCUCUCUUUCUCAUUCUGUCUCUCUGGGAGUUGCCAAGGCAGGGCUCUCGACAGCCCAGGCCGCGAUCGUGUCAUCUGCCGGGGUUCCCAUAGAAGCCUAAUUACUAUUCAAAAGCUGCUCCAAUAUCCCACCCGCAUCUUGUCUGCCCCGCACAGCUGGUUGGGGGCCUCGGAGGUUCGCCUCCCCUCGCCCAGCCACCAAGCGAGACCUGGUCGCUUUACACAAUCGGCUGCCUUUUUUUCUUUAUUCUUCCGUGCAACAAGAUCUCGAUUCUCGGGCCUCUUUUCUCGUUUUGUAAAAUAAAUAAAUGAAUGAAUUAGGAGUACUGUAAAUGAAAGGAAGCCACCAACUCGAAAGGAGAGAGAAGCACUGUUAACAAAGCGGGGCUUAAUUGGAUUUGUCGGCUUCUUCUUGGGCAGAGCAGAGGGGCAGCAGUGAAGCUGGAGGGUGGGCUGGGUGCAGGCAGAGUCCAGAAUGACGCUUCCAGGAUUUAGGAAACACUUCCCCCCAUCCUCCAAAAAAAAACAUGUCUUUGAAAUGAAUGGCAGAUCUUGGCACUGGUCACAGAUAGCAACGUGUGUUACUUUGCUGACUUCAGAAUUUGGGAAGCCAGCCCUGUUGCAUUUUGGGCUCCCUUAUGCGAAGUGAGGCCCUGGACAUCUCCGCUAAAGUCGCCCUUUGACGGUGCCACUGGAGCUCAGAGCCGCCCGUGGAAUCCUGAGGUGGCCAAGUGACCUGUAACACUUAAGGCUGCAGGUGUGUGUGUAGAUGACACUGUGGAAUCCACCCCCUAAAACAGAGCAAAAACCCAACAACCCCAGUGUUAUCAGGAAGAGUAGUGCUAGGGCUGAUUAGCCACAGUCCUCUUCUAUAUCUCUGAGGGCAGGGAUUUCAGGGAGACCUGGGCACCUCCUCUAGUCAAGAUGUUAGCCACAGAAUGCAUGCCCUAUAGCCAGGGGUAGGGAAAGUUUUUGAGCCAGAGGACCAUAUUCACCAUAUUCACAAUGGGCAAGAUUCUGAGGGACACAUGUCAGUGGUGGACAGGGCCAGAGGCAAACUAGGGCAGAUGUUUCAACACCCACCCGUACAUCUCUCUAUCCUUCAUCUAGGCAAGCAAGAGGCCUUCUGUUAGUUGGAAGGUCACAUUUCAACCAGACAAUAGGGAACAUAGGGAACAGCCUUAUAUAGUGGUACCUCAGAUUACAUACACUUCAGGUUACAUACGCUUCAGGUUACACACUCCGCUAACCCAGAAAUCUUACCGCAGGUUAAGAACUUUGCUUCAGGAUGAGAACAGAAAUCGUGCUGCAGCGGUGCAGCAGCAGCAGGAGGCCCCAUUAGCUAAAGUGGUGCUUCAGGUUAAGAACAGUUUCAGGUUAAGAACAGACCUCCAGAACGAAUUAAGUUCUUAAUCCAAGGUACCACUGUACAGUGUCAGACCAUUGUUCCACCUCUCUAGCAAGGGCUCUCAGGUUUCAGAUAAGGCACAUUCCCAGGCCUACCUGGAGUGGCUGGGAAUUGAACACAGGACCUUCUGAAUGCAAAGCAGAUGCUCUAUCACUGAGCUACAGACUUUCCCUAGGGAGGGCAUAGAGUAGGGCGGGGGCCUAUGAGGGGUGUGGCCUGGGAAGGGCCCAGGGGUCAGAUAGAUCUGAAGGGGCAUAUUUGACCCUAAGCCUCUGCUUCUCCACUCAGCCCCUGCCCUUAACCUAAAGCACACCUACUAUAUCUGAAAGAGAAUAUGUUUACAUGGUCAGAUGGCAUGACUUUUGGGCUUUCCUCUCUGUGGCCUAAGCCUUAGCAUUAGGGAGGUUUAAAUGAAUUACUGGGUGGUGUAGUGGUUAGACAGACUAGGUCAGACAGACUAGGACCUUGAAGAUGAGAAUUCAAAUCCCAACACAGCUAUGAAACUCAUUUAGGCCAGUCACUGUCUCUGAGCCUAACCUACCUCACAGGGUUGUUGUGAUGAUAAAAAGUAGAGGUGGAAGAACUAUGUAUGUCACCUUGAGUUCCUUGGAGGAAAGGUAGGAUAGAAAUGUAAUAAAACAAAACAAACAAAAUUGUCUUAAAACUUGUUUUCAGGGGCCCCCUGCUGCCGCAAGUGAGAUAACAGAGACGUGUCCUGAGCAUGUGUUGAGUGCCUUCCUCUUAUAAAGUAACUGCAACAGGCCACACUUAUCUAAGAUGAGAGGCAGAGAGCCUAGUAUUCAUGUAGGCUUCAAACCCAGCAUUAUCUCAUUUUAAAAAAUUCACAACUGUAAGAAGAGAUAGGACAAAAAGAAUGAAAAAAGCUAUUGAAAGCUUUAUAGGUUUUAAACGGUCUCCACUAAAUAGUUGUCCCAGUGAAAGCUUCUUUUCAUCUUACCUCUAUUUAAGAAUAUAAUUCAAGGCAACAAUCCUCAGACUGUUUACGAAGAGUCAAGUGUCGCUAGUCAAAAGCAAAUUACACGGUUGCUAUCCUGGGAGAGAGUUCUCUCUGUCUCUCUUUUAACCCAGGGGUGGGUAGCGAUAUUCUCUCAAGGCCCUUCCCCACUAAAAGCAAUAUAUAUUUAAUUUACACAGCCACGAGGAACAGAAACUUAUUUUUGAUUCAAAAAUAAAAUCUGGCAUUGAGAGGAUUCUCUCCCGAAAGAAUCAUGUCAAGGCUGAUCUUGUGUAUGAAAAUGCCGGUUUAGAAGGGAAUACACAUAAACUUGCAGUGGAUAAACUGAUUAGGGGUUAACUGAAUUUACUCUGGUAAAAAGUGGUGGCUAUUUUGUGUGUGUGUAAAUUGUAAAUUGACUUGUAAAUUGACUCCGAUCAGAUGCCAUGCGGAAUGCUCUUUAGCCCUUACACCAUUUAUUCUCACCGGCCAUAACAAUCCAAUUGACUUUACUCAGAUUGUGGGGAGGAGAAUGAGCGGGUGUGGGGAAUAAAUGGACUGGAAAGACGAAGAUGCUGCAAGAUUCCAGGGAGCUGAUUUUGACUGAAACACACCUUUCUUUGAGCAGGAACGAGGUCCUGCCUUGGGGAGAGAAAAUAGGCUGCUCCGUUUGCACUGGGAGAAUCUGGGCCACUGAAUGAACUUGCAGCAUUUCUUUCUUUCUCUUUCUUUCGUUCCCCCAACGUUUUUUUGUUUUGUUUUGUUUUGUUCAAGCAUCCACUGUGUUUCUUUCCCCACAGCAUAAUGGAGCUGGCCCUGUAUACAGGCAUUCAUGCUGGUUUGAAUGUAAUGUUGAACCUUCUCAGUGCUGGAGCGGUUUGAUGGUUUGAAUGGAGCUCCCUGGUGGGACAUUGCUAGGCGCAACUGUGCCUCUUUGGACGCCUGUUGUUCCUUAACAUUCAUGCCUCAUUAUGGGGCAACCUGUUCAAGCCAAGAGAGAGCCAGUCCUGAGCCAAAGCCUUCCCUCGGGGGCGUUGGCAGUUCAGAGAGAGAGAGAGGGAGGGAGGGAGAGAUUGAGGGAGAGGGCUAAGGAGGGGGGGGGGGGUAAAAAUCUCUUUUGGUCGCUGGGCAAAAGUGGUUUCCCCCUUUUAACUGGUCUUUCCAGCGGCCCAGUUGAAGUGUCUCAAAAGGGACUAGUGGAAUGUUUUGACUCUCAACAUUGUCUCGGAAUAAAGCUAGAAGCAUGUAAUUAAUGUGUCCUUUUAAUAAGGGACAAUAAAGCCGUUCAAGCUAUUUAAUUUCAUUUAAUUUUCCAUCCCAUUUGCUUCCAAGGCUCCUUUUACCCAUUUUUUUUUUUAAACCCAGCCUUUCAUGGCGUGGCUUGCUUCAGUGGGCACGUUAGAUCGAUUUCAGCCUGCCUUUUUAGGGAUUGGGGGGAAAAGGAGAUAGACAAAAAUCAAAGCAAACGUGUCUCCUUCCCUUUUUUUUGGGGGGGGGGAGACCAGUUAUUGUAACUAAAAGAAGCUUCCAGGCAACUGAGCCACAGGAACGGAACAAAAUAAAUAUAAUAAAAUAAAAAUAAAAUAAAAUAAAGCCAACGUGCGGGGCCGCUGCCAUCCUUUCCAGGGGUUGGGAGACGAGGUGUAACUUGGAUGUACAUGCGGAUAUAGAAAGAAAUGGUUUUGUCUCGCAACCGACCAGCUGUGGGUUGCUUUCCGUCGGAGGCUUCGCGUGGCGCUCGCGACUCCAGCCGGCCGUGGCGAGGCUGCCCCACUAGAGCAGAAGGGAGCUUCUACCUUUCCCCUUUGACGCCUCCGACCAGUGCCCUGGCGGCCGGCGGGCGGGUCAGGAAGGGUAUAUUUCAACCGGUUGUCACCCCGAAGCCGGCAGGCCAGAGGUUAGACGGACUAGUCCUUGGCUUGAAUUUAUUGCUCUCCGCUUUUUGUUUCGCCCUUUGCUUCCCAUUCAGGAUGCGGACCGCAGGGGUCAUCUUCAGUCUUCGGUCCCGGCCACCGCCCCCCUCAGAAGCCUCUGCAACAGCCCAAACGAUCCCUUCUCGAGAAAGCACCGAUCCAAUUCCACCUGACCCAGGAAAGAAAGGAUUGCUGAACUCGGGUCGGUACAAAGGCCGUUUUUAGUCAGGUUCCCCCAAUCCACAUCUCUCCCCUCAUCCAACAUCACCG
rnacentral:lncRNA from 1 species